rnacentral:tRNA from 1 species
GGCAGCGUACCGGAAUGGUUAUAACGGCGUAAACUUGAAAUCUACUGUGUCAGCUUGUAUCUGACUUGGGCGUUCGAAUCGCUCCGCUGUCG